AAGAUUGGCCGAGAGGCCUCAUCUCUAUAUCCCUCAACCUCUGUGAACCGUGGACCCUCGGGUCUAUUUUACAAACAUCAGUGUAAUGAACGUAAUUAUCAUAACAAAAACA
rnacentral:misc_RNA from 2 species